CCUACGGGAGGCAGCAGUGAGGAAUAUUGGUCAAUGGGCGCGAGCCUGAACCAGCCAAGUAGCGUGAAGGAUGACUGCCCUACGGGUUGUAAACUUCUUUUAUAAAGGAAUAAAGUGAGGCACGUGUGCCUUUUUGUAUGUACUUUAUGAAUAAGGAUCGGCUAACUCCGUGCCAGCAGCCGCGGUAAUACGGAGGAUCCGAGCGUUUUCGGGUUUUUUGGGUUUAAAGGGGAGGUAGAUGGGUUGUUAAGUUAGUUGUGAAAGUUUGCGGCUCAACCGUAAAAUUGCAAUUGAGACUGGCAGUCUUGAGUACAGUUGAGGUAGGCGGAAUUCGUGGUGUAGCGGUGAAAUGCUUAGAUAUCACGAAGAACUCCGAUUGCGAAGGCAGCUUACUAAACUGCCACUGACAUUGAUGCUCGAAAGUGUGGGUAUCAAACAGGAUUAGAUACCCGGGUAGUC
rnacentral:rRNA from 1 species